CCUACGGGAGGCAGCAGUAGGGAAUAUUGCUCAAUGGGGGAAACCCUGAAGCAGCAACGCCGCGUGGAGGAUGAAGGUCUUCGGAUCGUAAACCUCUUUCGUCAGAGAAGAUAAUGACGGUUUCUAAUCAACAAUCACUGGCCAAUACCGUGCCAGCAGCCGCGGUAAUACGGAGGGUGCAAGCGUUACUCGGAAUCACUGGGCGUAAAGAGCGCGUAGGCGGGAUGGCAAGUCAGGUGUGAAAUCCUAUGGCUUAACCAUAGAACUGCAUUUGAAACUGGUAUUCUAGAGUGUGGGAGAGGUGGGUGGAAUUCUUGGUGUAGGAGUAAAAUCCGUAGAGAUCAAGAGGAAUACUCAUUGCGAAGGCGACCUGCUAGAACAUAACUGACGCUGAUGCGCGAAAGCGUGGGGAGCAAACAGGAUUAGAUACCCUUGUAGUC
rnacentral:rRNA from 1 species